rnacentral:rRNA from 1 species
GCUUGCUUGGGUGGAUCAGUGGCGAACGGGUGAGUAACACGUGAGCAACCUGCCCCGGACUCUGGAAUAAGCGCUGGAAACGGCGUCUAAUACUGGAUAUGACACCAAUCCGCAUGGGUAUGGUGUGGAAAGUUUUUCGGUCUGGGAUGGGCUCGCGGCCUAUCAGCUUGUUGGUGAGGUAAUGGCUCACCAAGGCGACGACGGGUAGCCGGCCUGAGAGGGCGACCGGCCACACUGGGACUGAGACACGGCCCAGACUCCUACGGGAGGCAGCAGUGGGGAAUAUUGCACAAUGGGCGAAAGCCUGAUGCAGCGACGCCGCGUGAGGGAUGACGGCCUUCGGGUUGUAAACCUCUUUCAGCAGGGAAGAAGCGAAAGUGACGGUACCUGCAGAAGAAGCACCGGCUAACUACGUGCCAGCAGCCGCGGUAAUACGUAGGGUGCGAGCGUUGUCCGGAAUUAUUGGGCGUAAAGAGCUUGUAGGCGGUUUGUCGCGUCUGCUGUGAAAAUCCGGGGCUCAACCCCGGACUUGCAGUGGGUACGGGCAGACUAGAGUGUGGUAGGGGAGACUGGAAUUCCUGGUGUAGCGGUGAAAUGCGCAGAUAUCAGGAGGAACACCGAUGGCGAAGGCAGGUCUCUGGGCCACUACUGACGCUGAGAAGCGAAAGCAUGGGGAGCGAACAGGAUUAGAUACCCUGGUAGUCCAUGCCGUAAACGUUGGGCGCUAGGUGUGGGACU